UACGGGGGGGGCAAGCGUUGUUCGGAAUUACUGGGCGUAAAGGGCUCGUAGGUGGCCAACUAAGUCAGACGUGAAAUCCCUCAGCUUAACUGGGGAACUGCGUCUGAUACUGGAUGGCUUGAGUUUGGGAGAGGGACGCGGAAUUCCAGGUGUAGCGGUGAAAUGCGUAGAUAUCUGGAGGAACACCGGUGGCGAAGGCGGCGUUCUGGACUGUUUCUGACACUGUAAAACGAAAGCCAGGGGAGCAAACGGG
rnacentral:rRNA from 1 species